rnacentral:tRNA from 1 species
CGAGGUGUAGCUCAGUUUGGUAGAGUGCUACGUUCGGGACGUAGAAGCCACAGGUUCGAAUCCUGCCACCUCGACCA